GACUCUCAGCAACGUAUAUCUCGGCUCUCGCAUCGAUAAAGAACAUAGCGAAAUGCGAUACUUGGUGUGAAUUACAGAAUCCCAUGAACCAUCGAGUCUUUGAAUGCAAGUUGCGCCCGAAGCCAUUAGGCCGAGGGCACGUCUGCCUGGGCGUCA
rnacentral:rRNA from 1 species